UUUAUUUACUUUAUCCUGUAGAAAAUUCCCUCCAAAGUAAUCUACAGCAACAGAGUGCAGUACAAUACCACAAGUUUUCCAGCCAAAUGCGAAAAUUCCACACCUUUAUCACGAGGAAAUCUGCAAUGGCAUUUAGGAAUGACAAAUAGAAGCUCAACUAUUCGAAGCAGGAGACCGAAGAGAAAAAAGGAAGAGAGAUGAUAUUACAGCUGCAGAAAAGGAAAUAAUUGAAA